AUUGAACGCUGGCGGCAUGCUUUACACAUGCAAGUCGAACGGCAGCGCGGGCUUCGGCCUGGCGGCGAGUGGCGAACGGGUGAGUAAUGCAUCGGAACGUGCCCAGUAGUGGGGGGUAGCCCGGCGAAAGCCGGAUUAAUACCGCAUACGACCUGAGGGUGAAAGCGGGGGACCGAAAGGCCUCGCGCUAUUGGAGCGGCCGAUGUCGGAUUAGCUAGUUGGUGGGGUAAAGGCUUACCAAGGCGACGAUCCGUAGCUGGUCUGAGAGGACGACCAGCCACACUGGGACUGAGACACGGCCCAGACUCCUACGGGAGGCAGCAGUGGGGAAUUUUGGACAAUGGGGGCAACCCUGAUCCAGCCAUGCCGCGUGCGAGAAGAAGGCCUUCGGGUUGUAAACCGCUUUUGUUCGGGAAGAAAUCCUCUGGGCUAAUACCCCGGGGGGAUGACGGUACCGGAAGAAUAAGCACCGGCUAACUACGUG
rnacentral:rRNA from 1 species